AUACGGAGGAUGCGAGCGUUAUCCGGAUUUAUUGGGUUUAAAGGGAGCGUAGGUGGGCUAUUAAGUCAGCUGUGAAAGUUUGGGGCUCAACCUUAAAAUUGCAGUUGAUACUGGUUUCCUUGAGUACGGUACAGGUGGGCGGAAUUCGUGGUGUAGCGGUGAAAUGCUUAGAUAUCACGAAGAACACCGAUCGCGAAGGCAGCUCACCGGGCCGGAACUGACACUGAUGCUCGAAAGUGCGGGUAUCAAACAGGAUUAGAUACCCUGGUAGUCCGCACAGUAAACGAUGAAUACUCGCUGUUUGCGAUACACGGUAAGCGGCCAAGCGAAAGCGUUAAGUAUUCCACCUGGGGAGUACGCCGGCAACGGUGAAACUCAAAUGAAUUGACGUGG
rnacentral:rRNA from 1 species